GAGUCGUAAGGGACACUCUCGGUCCUCCUCCGCCUUACAUAAGCAAGUCCUAAUAAAAAGCAGUGCUGUAGCCCGGUAGCGAGGGUGGAGGAAAGGGCGCCUCGGCUUCAAAGGUGAUCAUUGAAUGAUGAGGAAAAGGGAAGCUCAGAUGAAUGGGAACUGCUGUCUGGUUCCAAAUAUGGGCACCCGCUCUAUUCUUGUUUUUUUCUUUUGCUCGCUCACGAGGAAGCAUUCUCACGUCUUUUCACUCCUGGCACUUUCUAUGACGAGGAAGAAGAUAUAGCAGAGAGAAAGAUGGAGGAUCUGGAUGAUUCGAUGUCAGAACAAGGAGGAAGGCCCUCAAUGCUCUUCUGAUCAGCUGGUAAAAGGUUCGCUGAUAUCAACAAUCCUGAAGCAAGAUGCUAAGGGGACCCGCUAAAAGCGAAAACAAAUUUCAUCAAGCUAGGCCAAAGAUUAACUGGACGGAUGUCCACAUUCCAAGACCGCCUCCACUGCCUUUGCACCAUUCAUUCACAAAGAUCGCUCAACAACACACUGCUAGAUUUGAAAGGACCGAACUGCCAUCUGAGACCCUCAUCACCACACCAAGUUCCUUAAAAGAGUUCCAACCCUACCCCAAGCUCUCUCAACAUACAUGACCACGCCUCCUCUGACAUCCAUUUUUCCAAGUCAAUACGGCGACUCCACGAGAGAUGAGUGACUAUACUAUUAGAUUAGAGAAAGAACUGAACUCAAAC
rnacentral:lncRNA from 1 species